AUACUACUCUCUCUGUCCGGAAAUACUUGUCGGAGAAAUGAAUGAAAAUAGAUGUAUCUAGAACUAAAUUGCAUCUAGAUACAUCGAUUCCUCCGACAAAAAUUUUUGGACGGAGGAAGUACUAG
rfam:Triticum aestivum genome assembly, contig: Triticum_aestivum_CS42_TGACv1_scaffold_406904_5BL